CAAAUUCCAGACCCUCCCAAACCCCCCACACAGAAACCACCUGCCGCUUUUGCUCGCCAGCCCCUAGGGUUAGGGUUUCCUCCCCCUUCUAUUCAAACCCCUCUCCCCACCAAUGGCCAGGUACCGCAGCCGCAGCCCAAGCCUUAGCCGAAGCUACAGCCCCCCUCGCCGCCGUAGCAGAACUCCGCCACGUGGACGCAAGCGUUUCGACUACGACGGCGAGCCCCCUCGCGACCGCUACCGUGACCGCCGCUCCCCGCCUCCGUCCGGCUUGCUCGUUCGCAAUCUUCCUCUUAACGCUAGGUCUGAUGAUCUUAGGAUCCCUUUUGAGCGCUUUGGUCCAGUGAAGGAUGUGUAUCUUCCUAAGAAUUACUACACUGGGGAGCCACGGGGAUUUGGUUUUGUGAAGUACCGGUAUGCAGAGGACGCAGCCGAAGCAAAGCUGCAAAUGAACCAUCAACUUAUUGGUGGACGUGAAAUAAGGAUUGUUUUUGCUGAGGAGAAUAGGAAAACUCCUCAAGAAAUGCGCACAACAACUCGUGUAAGCGAAGGAAGCUCUAGAAGAAGAAGAUCUCCACCUAGGUCUCCUAGAGGCCACUAUCGUUCCUACUCCCCAUCAGUUUCACCUCCUAGGCGUGACCCAAGGUCUGUAUAUUGUCUCCAGAAGUUUAUGCUAUUCAUAGGCAGGGUUUCAUUUUUUAUUAUAAUGGUAAUAACAUGCACCAUAUGGUGUUAAUAGUGAUAAUUUUGCAUUGUUAUUUCUCACGGAUGUGUAGAUUCUGCAUCCUUCAUUUUCUAUCAUAUUGCUUGAUAUUUUUGGAGGCCAUAUGGAGGAAAUGCAAAGAAGUUCGUCCCAUCUUUUGUUGCCAUAGUUGAAUUAUAUUGUUGUUAUAGAGUUUGCUUGUCUGUUUCUUUACCCCGCUUUUUAUUCGUCUUUUGAAUUGUUUGUUUCUCUUACUCUUUUUUCUUGGUCAAUAUAUUUGUUCUCUCUAACCUUCAGAGUUUUAGUGGGAGCUCUUACUGAUCGCAUGUUUGGACAGUUACCUUUUCUAUAUUUUUGUUUAUUCAUGGACUUGUGUCUGUGUGAUUAUUUCGUAUGGUUAUGAGCUUGUUUACUUCACUCUUUAUCUACAAAGAUUGCUUCUUUUAUGUUUAUGGAAAAUUAUAAUGUCUGCUGGAGGCCUUGUUUAUGCAGAUAGUAAAGUGAAAAAGGAGACUUUUAAAGACUUCGGGGUUAAUAAAGUAUAAAGCAAAAAGAGAUCAUAAAAGUGAUGGCAACUUUAUCUUUCUACCAAAGUCCCUGCAUAAGUACUAUAUAUGCACCAUCAAUCUUCUACAAAUGGGAUUGGGUUUCUCACUCUUAUGGCUUGAGUUUGUGAGCCAUUCUAUGAUUGACUGAACUAACGAGCUAAAUUAGGUCUGGGAGAUGAUUAGAAUCAUAGUAAAUGGUUAUUUCUAUCCUUUUACUAUCAACUGUUAAAAGUAAGUUUUUGAUAAGAAAAUUUGUUGAGUUUGAUAUCUUGUUUUGCAUAUACGAUCCAGUAAAGAAAGAAUAUAAAGCUUGUAGUUGGCCAAAGAAAGAAAUCAUCUACAAAGAAAAGAAGCAAUUCAAAGAUUUUCACAGGUAGAGUUUGGUGACAUUGUUGAAGGAUAAAUUAUUAUCUGGUUUAGAAAGUUGGGGCAAAGAGAGCUAUGAAGUUGUCAGAUGCCGAUCAACCAGUACUAGCUAACACUGAGUUUUUGGAUCAAGUUACAUGUUUUUUGUUCAGAACCCUGAAAAGGUUCAGGGACCGUGGAGCAAAGAAUCGUUAUCACUCCCCUGUGCAGUCUAGAUCAAUUUCACGAUCUCCUUCACCGCGCAAUGAAAGAGACUACAGGCAGUGCCCAAUUCCUAGGGAACGUGUUGAGGGCGAAUACAGUAGGUCCCCAAGUCCAAG